CUUUCACUGAAAACAAAAGGACGAUAUGUUUACUCGUCGCUGAAAUGAAUAAUUUUUUUGCCAAUUCCAUAGUAAUAAAACUGUACGAUGUAAAACGGAAGCAGAGGAAAUGAUGAAACGUUUGCACACGCAGAAACUGUAAUGCUAAUUGAAAUUAUGUACUAUAUAUGUGGUGUACCACUACGUAAAAGAGUUGAUAAGCCGGCGCUUUUUUAAAUUUUCUCCGACUUGACGUUACGCUUGAUCUUCAUAGUGGAUGAAAACCAGGAUAUUCUCGCAAGUCGGAAUGAAAAUUGCAGAGCUAUGAUGCCGAAAUAGCUACUAUUUGUAAACGUGACAUAGAUUCCGUCCAUGAAGUGAAAAUGAAAAAAUACUUGAAAAGAUACGCCCGCAUAAAAUCACAUUUGUGUACGCUGGCAAAGGAAGGCAAUACAGUAAUCAAACUCGAUGAAUUUUUAAAGGACCUGUUCUACUUGGACCAUUGUUUCAUUCGGAUAUCUCGGAGAAAAGUAGACGUAGGUACGCGUGCUAAUAUUGCGCGCGCAAAAAUUCGAGCGAUACGAUUGAAGGAGCCGUAGUAAUAAUAAAAUUUUGCGCAAUUUCUUGAUAUUAAAUAAUAAUGUCUUAUCUCUAAAUCGCGUAUAAUACAUACAUUAAUGUAUGUAUCAUACGCGGUUCAUGAUUAUACAAUAGAUGAUACAUUAAUGUAUAUAUCAUACGCAAUUUAAGAUUAUAUAAAUUAUUACGA